rnacentral:lncRNA from 1 species
AGGAGCAGACAGAAAUGGGGCCACUGCAGAGGCUUUAUGCCAAAACCCGUUUGAAGGGCCACAUGUAUCACUAACUGCUUCUAAUCUAUCUCCUCUUUCUCUGCUUGUUAAUUCAGAAAUACCAAACUGAAAGCCCCUUUAUAACUUGAGGGCAGGUGGCUAGCUUAACUCUACCUCAUUACUUUUAAUGAGUAGGAUUUUUUCACUUCUCUGGACAGGUGGCUAGUACAGGGCUCUGCAGCCUUGCUUCAAGGCCAGGAAUGUGCUCUGGCCACAUGUCAAACCAGCAGCCCUUGUAUGCCAAAGGACUCUAAAGUCACUGUUGUGACAUUUCCAUGGGUGAAGAAAACAAAGUCACAGAUGAUGAGAAAGUGGGUUCCGUGUGACAGUAUUUAGCAUCGUAACAGGUAGUAAUUAAGUAAUUAGAUGCACGAUACAUCAAACAUGAGUUAUCGUAUUUGUGCUAUCUAGCAUGUUAAAGGGGAGUUGAGUAAAUAAAUGAAAUGCAGGGGGUGGUUGUGAGUGGUUAGUGGUAGAAAUUCUUCAGUUGGGUACAUUGUUCCAGUUAACUUGAAUGCUGUGUACACCCUGAAGAAGGGACUUUGAGAACCCAUAGGAUGUUCUCUUGCUUCUCCACACAGUAACAAGAUAUUGGGAUUUACCAGGUUUGCUGUUAGGUGGAAUUGCACUUAAGAGAGGACUUAUUUUUCUUACCGUGAAAGCUGACUUGUUCGAGUCUGGAGAAAGACCUGAAACAUGGCCCCAUCAUCUAGAUACAACAUCAAUUCUGGCUGCUGGUCUAGUGAGCAAUCCAUCGUGAGACUUGAUCCAGGGACUUAAUUAAGUGUGAAAUUGAAGGGAGAAUCGGCACAAGAAAUGGACGGGGUCCUCCGAGGCAGAAAUUUUAUAAGUCACUGGAAAGCAAAGUGCAGAUGGAUAUUCUCCAAGAUGCCAGGAAGUUAUUGACUGUUAUUGCUCAGCACCAUGAUGAUGAAAGAUAGUUAGGUACCUAGACAACGUUGUCAGGCACUAGAAAUUUUGCUAUGGGACUCGUGCAUAUAAG